AGAAAUCCUAGGCCUCUCUCAGAGAUAUCUCUCAAUAAUUCAAGGACCUUCUUUCAUUUCACUCGGCCCUCUCUUCCCAUUUCUCUCAGACCUCUCUCUCUUUAAGAUAAAAAAAAAAAAACAAAUAGCUCUCAUCGGCGCCGUCUCUCUCUCGAAACUCUCAUCUCUCUCCUUUCUCUCUGCACCGAGACCCACAUACACACACACACACCAUCGCACCUGCUUGAGGAAGACACCCAUCGUUAUCAGCAACCUCGUCUUUCUCCCUUUCCUUCUCGUCUCCGCAACUCGGCGACGCAGGAACCCUCCGACGAGUUUCUUGAAUUUCUC
rnacentral:lncRNA from 1 species